GACGAACCGAGCGAACGUUGUUCGGAAUCACUGGGCUUAAAGGGCGCGUAGGCGGGCUGCCGCGUCCGGGGUGAAAUCCCACGGCUCAACCGUGGAACGGCCCCGGGUACGGGCGGCCUCGAGGGGGGUAGGGGCGUGCGGAACUGUGGGUGGAGCGGUGAAAUGCGUUGAGAUCCACAGGAACUCCGGUGGCGAAGGCGGCACGCUGGACCCCUUCUGACGCUGAGGCGCGAAAGCCAGGGGAGCGAACAGG
rnacentral:rRNA from 1 species